CGCGAGCAGAGCGGCGCGGCGGGACUUCCCUCUUAAAGGAGCCGGCGGCAACACGAAGGCGAGCGGGCCGUACCGCGGGGCUUGCCGGGAGCGGGGCCCCGCGGCGGAAUGUUCUUCCUGAGAGCCCACACAGGAUUUGGUGGCUGAAGCAAAAAGCUCUUUCUGACCCAGAGAUGCCCACAGCCUCGCUGAAGACCAGGUGGAAAAGCACUUGGCACAGGAGGAUCAGCCAGUUUUUCCAUCUCCUAAGUGAGGGGAAAAGCCAUUGUUUAGUCAAGGUAAUUCAUGCCCCAAGAGUACAUAAGGCACUACUCCAUUAUUUGAUAUCCUUUCUGUCUAAAUCGAGUGGAGUCUCUCCUUGAAUGGAAACCAUAUAACAAUUAAAGAUUAGAGUGGGAUAUAGGUAGGGGUUGGAUACACUGCCAAUAUAAUGAUAUGUUUCUUUUAAACUAGUAAGGGUUGAUGUUCCCCUUUUUGUUUAGAAGUGAUAUAGUACAGGUAACGGCAAAGAUAGUCUUUGCACCUAGCUCUCACUUUGCUGAGCUGAAUCCUAGGAAGGACUUAAAGAGAAAUUAAGUCAUAGUAUUCCUCCUCCACAAUAAUGUCCACAUAAUUUUGGGUAAUGAAAAGUUCUCUGUGCCCCUUAACCCAUCUUUAACAAACUACAGAGUUGUUUCCAUGACAUAGUGAGCUUCAGCAGCUGCUAUCCCGGCCUGGAUUCAAGCUGAUGGUCUGCAUCUGUCUAUUCCCAAUUCACAGCUAUGAAAGUUUUGUUACCAAUUCUUUUUGGCAACUGCAUACUCAAGGACACAGACUUGCAUCCACGUUUGCAUAUGAAAAAUUCUGGACAUCCAAGGGAUAUUUAUUCUGUUUUGGAGUGGGGCUUUGCUUUUCUUGACCUUGCUUUAGCUGUUGUUGCACAUGAUAAGAGAAAUUGCUUGAGAAGCAAGAAUCUGCCUGAUCAUUUAACAAAGUGCAAAACUUUGCUUGGGUUCCAGAAACUUCAGUCAGUUUCCAUGCUCCCUACCACCUGACUCUUACCAGGUCAUAAUGAAAUCUGUGUGGAUCCAACACUUGCUGCCUGAAUGCUUUUGAAGUAAAUUCCAGAGCUUCACCAAAGUCACAGAGGAUAUACUCACCGUAAAUGUUUGAUAGUGGAUAUUUGAAGUUAUUGCAAUAAAUCAAGGACAGGAACAAGUAGAAGCUCCUUUGCUAGAGAUUGGCAGGCAAACAGCUAGGGUAGCCUGAGGGAAAAAGCCCUUUGUUUAGUAAAAGAAGAAAAAAUGUCAAAUUUGUUGCUUCUUUACAAAUGACAUAAUGAUGCAAUGCCUUCUGAAGGAUAUGAGAUUCAUACCCAAUUAGAUUAACACAGUCAGUCACCAGAGAAAGUAGAAGAUACCCUGCUUAGUGAAAGUCAUGGUGCUGAAGCUAGUGGAAGAAGCAGCAAGAAGGAAGAAGCAGAACAUUGCUCAAACUUCAGGUAAGAACCAUCUUUAAAAAAAAAAAAAAAACCAACAAAAAAGCUUGCCAAACAAUUGUUUUUAAAGUUCUCUUUUUAAAGGCUUGAAAUUUUCAGGUUGUUUCCUCAAGAUAUAUUACUUGGUACAACUGAAUGUGUUCUGUUAGAAAUGAAAUAUUUGCAAUAAAAGUAACAUUUUUCAGCAAUUUUCACACUUCAUCUCUAGCCUGUAGGUGAGCUAUCUUGCCAAAACAUUGUUUUAUUUUGUGGAUGUUUUACAAAGGGACUUUGCUAAUGGAAAAAUAUCUCCUUUCCAGGAAAACUGAAGUUAAUCUUAAUAGAAAGUACUGCUGGAAUUAGAAAGGCUAGCAUAGCACAAGAGCUUUAGACAGGAGAAUUAGUAAGAGCCUCCCGUGAUCUCUGCAGGCACAACGUUUCAAACUUUCAUGCCUCAGCUAAUUAGUGCAAAACAGACAUUUUCCACACUGAAAAGCAAUAUUACCACCACUGAAAAACAAUUUAACUUACAGAAUUGCUGGAAUUGAUUGGACCCAAAUCCAUCUAGCCCCCACAGUCUUGAAAAGUGUCUUGUAUCUGUGAUGAGGAUGGUGUGACUGUUGCUACCACACCUUACCCAUCCUUCAGUAGCCACUGUUUGAGACAUUUGUAUCUCAGGCCUCCAAGUUCUGCAGUUUGGAGGUGUGGAGAAAGCCAGUGCUUAUUCUGUUAGUAUGAAGUCUGUGUAUGAUAAUUUCACUGCAUGUCCCUGUUGUUAAUUUCUUCAGAUCCUUCUUUAUGCCUCUUUACUACAACAAUAUUUUCCUGUGAUCUCUUUCCCCGUCCUUUACCCUGCCUCAAUCCUCACUUCCCAAACCGAAGAAUCAUUUUUACUCAUCUUUUCCUGUAUGACCACUAUCUUACACCACUCUUCAUUCUUGUUACCUUACGCUGGUGUUUUCUUUUCUGCAAUACUCGUUUUGAGAUAACAAUACCAAAACUACCCAAAAUUGUCAAGUCUGGAUACAUAAAGGAUUUCUAUAGUGAAACACUUCUUAUGUCAUUUGGAUGAUGAACCGAGAGUAAACCUUGAGAAUUUAAUCCCUAAUUAAAUUCUCAAGCAGUCAUCACGAAUGCAGUGUUCAAUCUCUGUGCAGUGCUCCACCAGUAAGGGGCUGUUUGUUACACAGUAAUACCUGUGCUGAUGUCCUGCCUAAGGAAUGAAAAACAAAUUAUCAUAGCUGAUAACAUGGAACAGUAAAGAAUAUUUUGAGUGCUAGCUUGUACUAACCUUGACAGUUUGUCACUGGAUAUCUCCAGAGUUGUGUAACUACAACUAUUGCUUUUGCAAGAUUUCCAGGUAAGAAUAAUUUUAUCACAUAUAGAAAGAUGAUUUUGGAGGGGCUGAAAUUCCAAAACUGAUGCAGUAAGCAAUUUAUGGAAAAUUCUUCAACAUAAUUUUUACCAGUUGUAAUUGUCAAGGGUUUAUAGUAGAUGCCUCUAUAUCAGAAACAGGCUUUUGACUAGUAUAUUUAUAAUAUCAGCCUUUCUAUAUUUUAAAAAAUAUAAUCUUGCUAAUAAAAGACUCUUACAGGCAAGAAUUCAUACUUCUGACAAUUUACACCAAAACCAAGAAGAGGCCAGCACAUACAAAUACAAAAUUUCAAGGAUAAGUUCACUGAAAACAAAAACUAAAAUUCUGUUGAAUUUUUCUUGAAUGAGAUAUGCAAAGCUAACAGAGCUAACUGCAUGUAUGCAACUACUUCACUUUUUCUUCUCUCAGAAAUCAAUCGGUUCUGAUCUUUGGGCUUAAGUAACAAAUAGAAAGGGAUUUAAGUCAGGGGGAAAUAAGGCUGAUAUCCACAACAUAUUCAACAUAUUCCUGAUUAACUCCUUAUUUACAUCACAUAUCAUACCAAGUAUUCAGUACCACAAGAGGCUGAUCACAAAUAAUUUUCAUUCAGAUCAGCAGUGACAGAGGAGUUACUACUAAAAUAGGUUCUAAAGUUAAUGCCUUUAAGAAAUAAUGUAUGAAAUGUAUAGAUGCAAUUGAUUCUGGAGACACUUUCCUCUUUUUCACAUUCAGCUGAAUCACACACAAAAGAUGUUUUCCAGUCAGUUUUAGUCAAUUUAAAGUUAUAGUGUGGGUAAGGUUAGUUUAUUGGUUUUUUUUAAGAUUUAUUUUAGUGACAUCACUGGAGAUCGAGAUACAUCAGCAUGUCCACACUAAGUGAACAUCUCUGAGGACUAUGAAAUCACUGUAUGUGGUAGGCACCCUUAGGGAUUUUUUUCUAAACUAAACCAAUCUUUUACACAUAGGCAGCAGACUGGGGUAAAAAUGAAGCAGAAAAAGCAAGGAAAAGAUAGUAUUAUCUUUGACAUGAUCUGUAAAACAAGAAAUAUCACCUGCCUGCUUCUCCUUUAUCCCCCCAAUGCACACAUCUGCCACCCCAAAAGAGCAACUGUGAUAUCCUGUAACUGGAAACCAAUACUUUAAAGCAGUUUAGUGUCAUGUAAAUUACAGAGUCUGCUACACAAAUAAUUUGCACUGAAAUGUUUAUCAGCUCUCUGACAUAGCUGCUUCCAUUUAUAGCUUAUAAACUGUUUUUUACUGGUUCCUUCACAUCUGAUAACAUAGCUCAAGAACAGGUGGUGAAAAUAUUAGGCAAUUAUGAGAGCCUCUGUUUGCAUGUGUGUGGUCUCUUGGUUUGCAAGGCCACUGACCACAUACGAAGGCAUUAUAAAAGUCUCGAAGUUAAAUUAUCAGCCUCCGUCAUUGAGUAUUGCCCUAGCUGCAGCUGGAGUCUUUCUGGACUGUAAACAGCUUUGGUGAAGUGUAAAAAGUUCAGAAUUAUCAAAACGUACAUUUAAGAACAAAAUUUACUCAAAGUAAAUCACAACAUGUUUUUGAAUCUUACAUGUCUAAUAGUGUGGCUGGUUAACUGUCCAGUAUUCCAGUGUAAGACUGGUUUCUUAGUAAAGCUCAGAAAGUGGUAAGUCGGCCAGGGCAGUUAUUUUUGUCAUGUUACCAUUGUACCUUUAGAGAUUUUGCAGCAAACAUUGCUGGGUAGAAUAAGUUGGCUGUCCACAGAUAAACUAGUAAAAGUCACUUCAUUUCUUUGCAAGGACAGAUAAAACCUUCCUGCAAUUUUAUCAUGAAAAUAUCCUCCAGGAGAUUUCUUGCAAAUUCUUCUUACUCAAUUAGAAAUAUCCACCUUUAGAGGCAAAAUGCUGUCUAAUUCAGGAUUCAGAUUUGAUUUUAGCAAAACAAAAAUAAAAGGUAUUGUGAAUAGUAAUCUCUGAUCAAGAAAGGAUCAUCUUACAAAUUAUGGUUUACAAGCCUAAUGCCUUUUAGCCAGAGUAAAGGCUUUUUGUAAUUUGAAAAGCUUUCAGAUUUUAAUGUCAUUAUUCCUAAGAACUUGUGUGCCUUGGAAGGUUUACGUGCUGCAGAACUAUUUCUUACCAGUGGAUAUAGUCCAGCUCAGAAUAUUCUCCACGACUUUCCUGCAUUUGGAUGUGGCAGGUGUCAUUUGCCAUUUUACAGAAAGAAAAAUAGCUUCAAAUAUUUGCCCUACAGCCACAAUAGAUGCACAUCUUGGAUUUCAGCAGCCAUUAAAAUAACCUUCGUAGAACUGAAAGGAACAAAGAGGUAAUAGAGAGGCUGUUCUACAGAUGAUGCAGUCUUGCAUUACUCCUUCCAUCACUCUAUUCCCUCCCAACAUACCUGUAUUCAUCCAGGUCCCCUUCCCAUUUAGUGUGCAGUUAUAAUGUCCAGAAAAAGAGUAUGUGGUCUAGUUCAGGAUUUUAAGUACAGAGGAAUUCAACAAUCAGUCUAUCCAGUUUAUCCUAUCAACAUGCUUCCAGUACAUGUUUCCAGUGCUAUUGACUGAGCUCGGAAAAGCAUGGCAGGUCUGUACAUGAAAAGUGUGUGCUUUGAAAGAAGCAUCUAUCAGAAAGGUUAACUGCAUGGCCUUCACAGAAUUACUUUGGGACUCAGUAAAGUACAAUAUAACUUGAGAUCAUUGUGCUCAAGUUCCUAAGGACUAAAUCUGCUUUUUCAUUUUCCUUUCUUACAAUUUUGGUUACAAAUAGUCCUGAAAGUUAGUUAGUGUAUGACAAUAAACAUAAUUUUGUGUUCCUGUUGAUAAUAUCUAAAAUUCCAGGCAAUAAGGCGUGCCUGCUGUUCACACUUAAAUAUUUUAGUAUUACUGCAAAUACCAGUUUUCAGUUCUUUGGCCAUUAGAUUAUUUUUAACAAGCUUACUCUUUCUGCAGCUCAUUUUUUGCCCAGUAUCAACUUAGUAUGUUCUUCUGUUCAUCUGAGUUUAUAAAAAUGGAUGUGUCCAUAAACUCCAUAAAAAAGAGUGGUUUUGAAUGGACUACAACUGUGUACUUGACAAGAAUUUUUUUCAAUAUAUAUGGGUUUGACAUUUUCAGCAUGAGCUUAUAUUAGAGUUUUAGCUGGCCCUUUCAAAAUGCAAUUUAGAAAAAAGGACUUUUGUUUUCAUAUUGUUACUGACAGAAGAAUGUGUUAUAUUUUGUUUCAUACCCAUAUCAAACAGUGUCUAUCAAAAAUAUUUCAAGAUUGCAAAAUCACAUGUCCAGAAAUUUUCAAGUGGCAGAAUUAAAUUAGUCUGUCAGGUCCAAGUUCUGAUCCUUUGGGAAUCUUUUGGAAAUAUUUUAGAAAACAAUAAUUUUUUUUUUCUGCUAGACCUUCAACUUCAGCAGUUCAUACAACAGAUAUUAUUCAGUGAAUGCAAUACUUGGUGAAAGUUUCAGAAUUCCCCAGCACUUAAUGCUAACAAAAUCCCUUUUCAUUUCCAUUCUCCAUUAUUUGCAUUCUGAAAGGUUUUUUCAGUAAAGAUUUUCUUAAGAAAUUUGAAUCUGCGGUGAACACUAAAAUGGGAAAUUUCAGAGCACUUUGAGCAAAGUUGCAACACUAGCAAAGAAGAAAAAAAGUUAUUGAGAUCUCUUGCUUGCUUUUUACUUUUCAAGCAUUGGGCUAAGUUUUCAAGCUUUCUUUGUAAUUAUAGGCAAUGACCUUUAUAAAUGAAGCAGAAGAUUGUCACAUAUUUGGAAGCUACUAGGAUCUGGGGCAGAAAAAGAGCCAUCCAAUAUCAUGAGGCUUGCAGUGCAGUACAAAUGUGCUGUUAAGCUCAGCUUUCACCCCUCAGGUUGAUUGUAAAAAUUGCUUCAAAAUCUCCCUGAGUGUGUGCCUGUUUAGGCACAAAGAACUGGCGAUGUACAUAUGGAAAACAGACAAAUUGAGAUGUACUUGAUAUGGAACAGAUUGUAGAGUUACUAAUGAGGGCAUUGUAGGUUUAAGUUUCCUAAAGAGAGGCUUCUUUGGGGGCAAAACCAAACCAAACCAACCAACCAUCCAAACCCCUCCCUGCAAUAAAGAAACCGAGCUCUGUUUUGCUUUUCCACUGGUAGGAUCUCACUCAUGGGAUGAGUAAGUAGGGGGUGUGAUGUGUAGCCAUAGUGUAUAGACAGGUUUGUCAUAAAAGCUGCAUUGGUAUAGGUUGCCCACUGUAGAAAAUGAUGGUGUGGAACUGGUUUCUAUGGAGAUCCCUGCUUGCAUCAGAAGAUCAGAAUAAAAAUGUUGUAUGGUAUUCAGAAAAUUACAGUGAUCUGCAGGAAGGAGGGGGUUGUUGGGUGUUUUGGGUUGGUUUGUUUUUGUUCUUUUUCCUUUCCUUUUCUUUUUAAGCCAGUUCUAUCAUCUGCUUUGGAACUUCAGCUUGGGAAAUGAAGCCUAGCCAUAAUUCAAAUAACUGUAUAAAUAAUGCCAGCUGUAGAAGCAUUCACACAACAUUGGCAGCAAUAGAUAAAAAUACAUAAAGACUCAAUUGCUCAAACAUUGCCUUUUAAGUACAGUAAAUCAAUGAGCAUAAGUUCUCUGAAACACUGAGUUGAAAUAUGAAUAUUUAUAAACAUGGGGCUCCCAAGCAGAUGGGCUAAGGGCUGCUUGGCAAUUUGCAUGUAAAACCAAAAAUUUCCCAAACGGCCAUUGUUCUUGAUCUCUAUAUUUAAGCUGCAAGCUGCAAACUGAUGAACCCAUGAUCCAGGUCUGUAGAACUGCUAACCUAUCACAGCUUUACAUGAGCUUAGUGGGAACUGCAAGGCUUUACCAUUCUUGAAAAUCAAGGUCAAAUGUCACACAUUAGUUGACCAGAAACGAUUAACUUCUUAAUUGAUUUUGUCUUUUUUUUUUUUUUUUAGAAUUAUCAUUGAUAAUAAAGUUUGUUAAACUUUGUUUUCUGUUCUAUUAAAAUUAAGGGAUAUAAGAGAGCAUUCCUUCUGAAUUUUCAACUGCUUGUAUGUUGACAGCAAGCAAUGACUGGAGAACAUUUGCCGUCUCCCUUAUUCAUGAGUGGCUUCAGAUUGUAUGCUAUUAUUAAAAAUUAAAUAUAUAAAACGCU